CGAGAAAUUUUAACCCACCAAGAUCAUCGGGCCCAAAAAUUGCGAGUUUUUCAAGGUGGCGAAACAAUUUCAACGUUGAAUCAAGCGACUCCAUUUUGCCAGCCGGUAUCAUGGAAGUCAAAAUAUAUCGCAUUUCUUCGAAUUCGGUAUCUUUCGAUGUAAACUGGCGAGACAACUCCAGCAUGAAGAGUCUGUACUUCAAAUCUGGAAGCUUUGCGUCGAUUUCAGACAUCGAAUUUAAUAUGUUUUGCUUAUCGUCAAUUUGUGUUACUGCUUUGUUUUGCAAAGAAAAGGUUUUGGGCACAGGGGUCACCCGCGUCAGAACCUUUGAAGUUUUUUUGUGCUGCGUAGAAAUUCCUUUAACCGAGGAAAUUUGGACCAAUUGUACACAAGGAAGUGAAAAUUCACUCACUUGAGCUAUUAUUUAUGCAAAAAUACUUCUAAAAAACGCACGAGCCACAAUAUAUGAAACUCGAUUCAUCGGCACUGGUCGAACAAAAAACAGGCCAUUUCUCACAUUUAAGGAUAUUUUACUAAGUCAACCCCCCCCCCAAAAAAAAAAAAUUAUGCCUUCCAGAAAAUUCCUGAUGAUAGGCAGAUAUGUUUCUGUGAAACACAUGUCUAACUGAAAAAUUAGUGAAGAUUCUUGCCGAUGAUUAUCGUAUUGUAAAAGAACAAUUGUCAAUUACACAAAUAUAUAUACUGACGUCUUCCAGAAAAUUCCUGAUGAUAGGCAGAUAUGUUUCUGUGAAACACAUGUCUAACUGAAAAAUUAGUGAAGAUUCUUGCCGAUGAUUAUCGUAUUGUAAAAGAACAAUUGUCAA